rnacentral:rRNA from 1 species
CUCCUUGACGUUAGCGGCGGACGGGCGAGUAACACGUGGGUAACCUACCUAUAAGACUGGGAUAACUUCGGGAAACCGGAGCUAAUACCGGAUAAUAUUUCGAACCGCAUGGUUCGAUAGUGAAAGGUGGUUUUGCUAUCACUUAUAGAUGGACCCGCGCCGUAUUAGCUAGUUGGUAAGGUAACGGCUUACCAAGGCGACGAUACGUAGCCGACCUGAGAGGGUGAUCGGCCACACUGGAACUGAGACACGGUCCAGACUCCUACGGGAGGCAGCAGCC